rnacentral:lncRNA from 1 species
UGGUGGGGACUAAGGGUGUUGUAGUCUGGCUGCUCUUAUUUAUUAGGCAGGUAUUCCCACGGUUUCGGGAGCUCCUCUACAUUCCUAUUGUUUGUAGCAGCAUUGAGUCUUGCGUCUUUCACUAUUUGCAAGUUUUCUGCUGCCGGUAGUUCUGCUUUGCUUGUGGUUUGGUUGAUUACCUUAGCUUCUUGCCAUUUUAUGUCCACAUUGCUCUGGUAUGCUUUGGUUGCCGGCGCUGUUGCUGAGCUCGCCGUUUUUGUAUUCCUUUUGUGUUCUGCAGCACGGUCUUUUGGGUUCCGACAUGUGGCCCCGAUGUGCACCUCCUGGUUGCCUGUGUCUAAAUUUGUUAGUGGUAUCUUGUGCACUCCACUUUUUUCAUCAUCUCUUCUAGGGUCUUUAUUAUUUUUCAGUAG